rnacentral:rRNA from 1 species
AUUGAACGCUGGCGGCAGGCCUAACACAUGCAAGUCGAGCGGGGUUUUCGGACCUAGCGGCGGACGGGUGAGUAAUGCGUAGGAAGCUACCCGAUAGAGGGGGAUACCAGUUGGAAACGACUGUUAAUACCGCAUAAUGUCUACGGACCAAAGUGUGGGACCUUCGGGCCACAUGCUAUCGGAUGCGCCUACGUGGGAUUAGCUAGUUGGUGAGGUAAUGGCUCACCAAGGCGACGAUCCCUAGCUGGUUUGAGAGGAUGAUAAGCCACACUGGAACUGGAACACGGUCCAGACUCCUACGGGAGGCAUCAGUGGGGAAUAUUGGACAAUGGUCGCAAGCCUGAUCCAGCCAUGCCGCGUGUGUGAAGAAGGCCUUCGGGUUGUAAAGCACUUUCAGUAGGGAGGAAGCGUUGUGUGUUAAUAGUACACAGCGUUGACGUUACCUACAGAAGAAGCACCGGCUAACUCUGUGCCAGCCGCCGCCGUAAAAC